rnacentral:rRNA from 1 species
UGAGUGUCAUUGUAAUCUCACUACGAUCGACUCUUGUCUUUCCGUAUGUGGACUUGGAUGUUGUCGUGGAUUCAACGACUCGUCUGAAAUGCCUGAGUGUACCCCGCUUUGCGGCGUAUUCGGUGUGAUACAUCUUCACCGGAGUUGAUCCUUUUUGGGUCGCGUCUGUAUGAGUGUGGCUCUAUGCUUCCAACCGUCUUUUUAUGAGACAAAUCUCUGACAAUUUGACCUCAAAUCGGGUGGGACUACCCGCUGAACUUAAGCAUAUCAAUAAGCGGAGGAAAGAAACUAACAAGGAUUCCCCUAGUAACGGCGAGUGAAGAGGGAAAAGCUCAAAUUUUGAAUCUGGUGUCUUUGACUCCCGAGUUGUAAUCUAGAGAAGUGUUUUCCGCGUCGGACCGUGCACAAGUUCCCUGGAACGGGGCGUCAUAGAGGGUGAGAAUCCCGUAUAUGGCACGGACCGCCGAUGCUCUGUGAUACACUCUCAACGAGUCGAGUUGUUUGGGAAUGCAGCUCAAAAUGGGUGGUAAAUUCCAUCUAAAGCUAAAUAUUGGCGAGAGACCGAUAGCGAACAAGUACCGUGAGGGAAAGAUGAAAAGCACUUUGGAAAGAGAGUGAAACAGUACGUGAAAUUGUUGAAAGGGAAGCGUUUGAAGUCAGUCGUAUCUGGCGGGAUUCAGCCUGGCUUUUGCCUGGUGUACUUCCCGUCCGAUGGGUCAGCAUCAAUUUCGAUCGAGGGAAAAAGGCGUGGGGAAUGUGGCUGUCUUCGGGCAGUGUUAUAGCCCUGUGUUGUAUGCCUCGGUUGGGAUUGAGGAACGCAGCGCGCCUAUAGGCCAGGGGCUACCCGCCUCUUGACACGCGCUUAGGAUGCUGGCAUAAUGGCUUUAAGCGACCCGUCUUGAAACACGGAC